CGAGAAUGCUGACACUAAACAAUCUUACAAACUCACUUACACCUCUAUCCUUUUCCAUUUAGGGUUGGGGGAUCCGCAACAUAACCUUUGUUGAUUACGGCAAAGUAGCUAUGUCUAAUCCAGUCAGACAAUCUCUCUACACGUUUGAAGACUGUGUUGGUCGUGGCGAGUUCAAAGCCGUUGCUGCUGUUAAAAGCCUUAAACAGAUCUUUCCAGCAGUGGAAUCUAGUGGAGUUGUUAUGGCUAUACCGAUGCCUGGACAUCCCAUCUCUAGCCAAGAAGAAGAAUCUGUUCUCGGUGAUUGCAAACGCCUUCGUGAUUUGAUUGAGUCUCAUGAUGCAGUGUUCUUGUUGACUGAUACAAGAGAAAGCAGGUGGCUACCUUCUCUUCUUUGUGCUAACGCUAAUAAGGUAACAACAUUUAACUCUGAUUCUUUCUUUUCUUGUUUUCUUGUUAUACAAGUAACACAAACUGUUUUGAUUUUGAAUUUUCAGAUUGCUAUAAACGCGGCUUUAGGUUUCGACAGCUACAUGGUAAUGCGCCAUGGUGCUGGCCCCAACUCGUUGUCUGAUGAUAUGCAGAAUCUUGAUAUUAACAAGACAGGAAGACAGAGACUUGGUUGUUAUUUCUGUAACGACGUUGUUGCACCUCAAGAUGUAAUAGUUCUUGGUUUAGACUUUGUUUUAUGUUACCUCAAGCUUUUGCUUGUGGUGAACUUAUUUUUUUGUUUUUACAUUUUGCAGUCAAUGACUGAUCGGACACUGGACCAGCAAUGCACUGUUACACGCCCAGGGCUAGCUCCUAUUGCAGGAGCUUUAGCCGUUGAACUCUUAGUCGGAGUUCUACAACACCCACUUGGGUAAGUCUUUUGAAAGUCUGACUCAGUCCACAGGCUUGUCUUCUUACAUGUGUUUUUCUUUUAUAGUAUCUAUGCAAAAGGAGACAACUCGAGUUCGAGUAAUGGAGGAAACUCCGAUGAAUCACCUCUCGGGAUCUUACCUCAUCAGAUUAGAGGCUCAGUUUCUCAGUUCUCACAGAUCACACUGCUCGGACAAGCCUCCAACAGCUGCACAGCUUGUUCUGAAACUGUAAGUCUCUACAUGAGAUCUUUCUUUACAAAACGUGGCUUGCACGGUUUCUUAUGGAUGUUAAAUUACGCGUGUUUCAGGUGGUGUCAGAGUAUAGAGAAAAAGGAAACAGUUUCAUACUUGAAGCUAUUAACCAUCCUACAUACCUGGAGGAUCUUACCGGUUUAACCGAGCUUAAGAAAGCUGCUAAUUCGUUUAGCCUCGAUUGGGAAGACGAUGAUGAUGACGAUGAAGCUGUAGAUAUGUAAUAAGUCAUUUUCAUUACAGGUUUUAUGAAUCAUAAGAUGGCUCGGAUAUGGUGGUCAUGUUGUAUUCUUGAUAAUCACAAGUGACUUGACCAUCAUUUUCGAAGUUAGUUUAAUAUCAUUCGCUAAUAAACAUGCAGUUAGUUGUCAUUCAUAGCAAGUGUUGAUUCAAGUCUUAUUAUUAUCAAAUAAAAUUAUUUUAUUUCUUUAUCAUGUUGAGUUCUUCCGAUUUAAACAGAUUAAAUUUUUUUCAAACAAUUAUAAUUAGAUGUUCAGUUAUAAAAGAUAACAUGUUGAAAAAUUAAACCAAGAUACACACAAUGUAUAACAUAACAUUGAAUACAAAUAGACUUAUACCACCAAUCUCAAAAAACUUUUAGGCUUUGAAUAUCGAGAAUGAAGAGGAACCCUAAUUAUAAAUGUUUGAAAUAUGUUUUCUUUUUCAUUCUUCUUCGUCCAUUUGUUUGUAGAGAAUUAUAGAAUAAAUCUAUUUCUUAUUAAUUUUGAUAAUGAACUAUCAUUCUUGUCAUUCCUAAAAUUUUAUUCUUAUUCAUUAUUUUCCUAUCCAUUCCUAUUGUUUCUAUGAUGGUUACCAGUCAGACCCUUAUAGUUGGAUCAUUUAUAAAGUAAUAAUAUGUUACAAAAUCAGACCAAGAAACGCACUACAUUGUGAAGAUGAAGCAAUAAGAAACAAGAUGGUUGGUUAAGUUCUCAAGACAAUGGAGAUACCACUACAAGAGACAAGCAUGCAUGGUUGGUUAAGGUCUCAAGACAAUGGAGAUGCCACUACAAGGGACAAGCAUGCAUGGUGGGUUAAGGUCUCAAGACAAAGGAGAUGCCACUACAAGGGACAAGCAUGUAUGGUGGGUUAAAGUCUCAAGACAAUGGAUUAUUAGUUUAUCAUAUCUCAUCUACCAUUUGCCAUACUUGUAACCCCUAUAUAUAUGGGAUGUUCCCAUAAGCAAAUUAAUCAAGCAAAUAAGAUUCUCCUUAUUUACUCUAUCUCUCUCUACUUUCUAGAUUAAACAUCUCUCUCUCUUGUUCUUCACUAUGUUCUUCAAUUUCUAACAUGGUAUCAGAGCAUCCAAGCUCUUGAACACCAAACUGCUUCCGCAAAUUUACUCUAUUCACCUUACUCUUUCACUUGUUUGGUUUACUUUCUUCAUUUCUAGAGAACAUAUCUUGGCUUCCCUUGUUUUCUCUCUUGCCUAGCCUCAGAAAUUCAAAUUUCUCCUUGGCAAAUUUUUUAUUUUUUACCCGCUGGACAAUAGCAAGCAAAGAUGGAGCAGCACAAGCUAGUUAGGAUUCCAGUCAUCCUGAAAGGUCCUAACUACAUUACCUGGUCGAGAUUGACCAGGACAGCUCUUGGAGGAAGAGGUCUAUGGGAGCACAUCACCACAAGUGAGGCCCCAAGACAAAUCACCCAAGGAGAAGAUGGCAAGGAGGUUGUAGUGGUAGAUGAAGGCAAAUGGGGUCAGGAGGAUCUCAUGGUGCUGUCUAUCUUGCAAGGCUCACUUGAUACUCCUAUCAUGGAGUCUUACUCACAUUGUGAGACUGCAAAGAAGCUAUGGGAUACCUUACACAAGGUAUAUGGCAACACUUCAAACCUCACCAGAAUUUUUGAGGUUAAGAGGGCAAUCAACAACUUACAGCAAGAGGAGAUGGACUUCACCAAGCACCUUGGGAAGUACAGCCAGCUGUGGUCUGAACUUGAGAUGCUGAGACCAAGUACCACUGAUCCUAGUACACUAGAAGAGAGGCGUGAGCAAGACAAGGUCUUUGGAUUGCUUCUCACACUCAACCCAAGCUUCAAUGAUGUACUUAAACACAUAUUGAGAGCUAAAGAGCUUCCAAGCUAUGAUGAUGAAAAAAAAAAAAAAAAAAAAAGAGAUUAAAAAGAUUCGGGCACCGAAGAUGAUACUUCAAUUCGCUCCAUUGAACAGCUCCGUCGACGAAGGUUUCUGGCACAGCUUUUCCUCUCUGAAACUCGAUAAGCUCGGAAUCGACGAUUCUCCGAUCUCCAUCACGGGUACGACCAAUUACCAAACUACCCCCCACAACAUCGAUUCCAAUAUAGAGAAGUCCAUAAUUCGAUGCAUUCACAUUGAUUUCAGCGAUCCCUUUAGGUUAGAGAACAAACAAACAAAAAAACGUUGAUACACAUUUUUGUAGAUUCAUCUUCACGAGUUUUUGAAUUGAAUAAAGUUUAAAACUUUAAUAUAUAACUCAUGUGGGGUUUGCUAUCAUCAUCCAGGUUGAAACUAUGUAUAGAUUCGUCUUCACGAGUUGGUUUUAUCUGAUUCUCGUGUAUAUGCCAUUGGAGAUUAGAAUGUGCUGAGGUAUUUUGUUUCUUUGGAUUGUGGAACUUGCAGGUUUCUAUGCACCGUGUUCUCAUCCACAAGUCUCAAACCAUCUGACUCUUCUUUCUUCAGAGUCAUUGCCUUCUUCUUCAGAUGAACAGUCAUCGACCGAGAAUACUAUUCACGGGAAUAGGAACAAGUGUCCUGUUCCAGGGACUCUCUACAACACCAACACCGUCGAAAGCUUUACUAAACUCGACAAACAAAGCUUGUUAAAAUCAGAAGCAAACAAGGUAUGUAUGAGUUUUGACUGUUGUUUUUUCCGACAGAAUAUCCAACUAAAACUGUUUGGUGAGUUUCAGAUUUGGGAAGAUAUUCAAUCGGGAAAGGCUCUCGAGGACUGUGCUUUGUUAUCUAGAUUCCUCGUUAUCUCGUUCGCUGACCUUAAGAAGUGGAGUUUCCGUUAUUGGUUUGCGUUCCCUGCACUUGUUCUUGAUCCUCCUGCAAGUUUGGUUGAAUUAAAGCCAGCUUCGGAGUAUUUUACUUCAGAAGAAGCAGAAUCAGUAUCUGCUGCGUGUAAUGAGUGGCGUGACUCAAGUUUAACAACUGGUACUCAACAACAUUCUCGUUCUACUUUGUUUAUUCUUGCUAUUCCCAUUCAACAAGUGGUUGCUGAAAACGUUUGUUACUUCUCUGUGUUAUGGCUAUUAGAUGUUCCAUUCUUUUUGGUUUCGGUUUCGUCUGAUGAUUCAAAAGCUACCAUCACACCUCUUAAAGACUGGGAAGCCUGCCAAGGUGAUCAUCAUAAGGUAUGUGUAAACUAAUCUCUUUCAAAAGCGUUAGAACCAAUUAAAAACUUUACCUUGAUCUACCUCUCUUCCUGCAGUUACUUUUCGGUUUCUAUGACCCGUGUCACCUUCCUAGUAACCCUGGCUGGCCACUUCGGAAUUAUCUAGCACUUAUUCGCUCAAAGUGGAACCUCGAGACUGUUUGGUUCUUCUGCUACAGAGAGAGCCGCGGUUUCGCUGACAUGAGCCUUUCUCUUGUUGGUCAAGCCUCCAUUACACUCUCAUCUGAUUCAUCUGUACCUAACUCAGUGGGAUGGGAGCUUAACAAAGGAAAACGAGCUCCCAGAUCCAUUAGCCUUGCUAACUCCAUGGAUCCAACCAGGUACAUGUUUGCUCUCUGUCAAUGCUUUAGAUAACCAAAUAGAUAAGAUCUGAUUAACGAUCCUUUUCGCAGGUUGGCUGUUUCUGCUUGUGAUUUAAACUUGAAGUUAAUGAGAUGGCGUGCGUUACCGUCUCUAGACUUAAACGUUCUGUCCUCUGUCAAAUGCCUUCUUCUUGGAGCUGGUACAUUGGGUUGCCAAGUUGCUCGUACUCUUAUGGUAAUGCAUCAACGAGAAUGCUGACACUAAACAAUCUUACAAACUCACUUACACCUCUAUCCUUUUCCAUUUAGGGUUGGGGGAUCCGCAACAUAACCUUUGUUGAUUACGGCAAAGUAGCUAUGUCUAAUCCAGUCAGACAAUCUCUCUACACGUUUGAAGACUGUGUUGGUCGUGGCGAGUUCAAAGCCGUUGCUGCUGUUAAAAGCCU
rnacentral:lncRNA from 1 species